UCCCCGUUCACCGGCAGUCCCCCUAGAGUGCCCAACCGAAUGCUGGCAACUAGGGGCGAGGGUUGCGCUCGUUGCGGGACUUAACCCAACAUCUCACGACACGAGCUGACGACAGCCAUGCAGCACCUGUCACGGCGUCCCCUUGCGGGGAACCCUGGAUCUCUCCAGGUGGCGCCGGAUGUCAAGGGCUGGUAAGGUUCUGCGCGUUGCGUCGAAUUAAACCACAUGCUCCACCGCUUGUGCGGGUCCCCGUCAAUUCCUUUGAGUCUCAACCUUGCGGCCGUACUCCCCAGGCGGAGAACUUAACGCGUUAGCUACGACACCGAGAGGCAGACCCUCCCGACAUCCAGUUCUCAUCGUUUAUGGCGUGGACUAC
rnacentral:misc_RNA from 1 species